rnacentral:rRNA from 1 species
GACGAACGCUGGCGGCGUGCCUAAUACAUGCCAGUCGAACGCACAGUUUAUACCGUAGCUUGCUACACCAUAAACUGUGAGUUGCGAACGGGUGAGUAACGCGUAGGUAACCUGCCUGGUAGCGGGGGAUAACUAUUGGAAACGAUAGCUAAUACCGCAUAAUAUUGAUUAUUGCAUGAUAAUUGAUUGAAAGAUGCUAUUGCAUCACUACCAGAUGGACCUGCGUUGUAUUAGCUAGUAGGUGAGGUAACGGCUCACCUAGGCGACGAUACAUAGCCGACCUGAGAGGGUGAUCGGCCACACUGGGACUGAGACACGGCCCAGACUCCUACGGGAGGCAGCAGUAGGGAAUCUUCGGCAAUGGACGAAAGUCUGACCGAGCAACGCCGCGUGAGUGAAGAAGGUUUUCGGAUCGUAAAGCUCUGUUGUAAGAGAAGAACGGGUGUGAGAGUGGAAAGUUCACACUGUGACGGUAUCUUACCAGAAAGGGACGGCUAACUACGUG